rnacentral:misc_RNA from 1 species
GAUGAAGAACGUAGCGAAAUGCGAUAAGUAAUGCGAAUCGCAGAAUUCAGUGAGUCAUCGAAUCUUUGAACGCACAUUGCGCCCUGUGGUAUUCCGCAGGGCAUGCCUGUUCGAGCGUCAUUUCAACCCUCAAGCUCUGCUUGGUGUUGGGCCCUGCCCGCUGCGGCCGGCCCUAAAGACAGUGGCGGUGCCGCCUGGCCCUGAGCGUAGUACAUCUCUCGCUCCAGUGCCCGGUGGUAGCCUGCCAGAACCCCAACUCUCGUGGUUGACCUCGGAUCAGGUAGGGAUACCCGCUGAACUUAAGCAUAUCAAUAAGCGGAGGA